AGAAACAACAUGUAGGAGUCAUAUUAGUCAUGCUGCGUCAUAUUUAGUGCAAAAUGGUUGAGCCUGCCCAUAACUGAGGCACACUCUCAGAAGACCACAUGAUGCUUUUCUGUCAGCGUGUCUGACAUUCCAGUCCAAGAGCUCAGUCCAAGAACGCUUGAGGGACGCUCAUGAAGCUGUAACCGGACCUGACUCAGACCAGGAACCAAGACAACCCCUCGCUGCUCUUUGAACCUCUCACAAAGCUCCAGUUACCAGGCAACCGUCGGAGACUCCAGGAAGCCGCUGCAGCUGGCCA